GUGAGGAAUUUUCCGCAAUGGGCGAAAGCCUGACGGAGCAAUGCCGCGUGAAGGAUGAAGGCCUAUGGGUUGUAAACUUCUUUUCUCAGAAAAGAAUUAUGACGGUAUCUGAGGAAUAAGCAUCGGCUAACUCUGUGCCAGCAGCCGCGGUAAGACAGAGGAUGCAAGCGUUAUCCGGAAUGAUUGGGCGUAAAGCGUCUGUAGGUUGUUUAAAAAGUAUUCUGUCAAAGAUUAGGGCUUAACCCUAGAUAGGCAGAAUAAACUUUUAAGCUAGAGUUUGGUAGAGGCAGAGGGAAUUCCCGGUGGAGCGGUGAAAUGCGUAGAUAUCGCGAGGAACACCAAAGGCGAAGGCACUCUGCUGGGCCAAUACUAACACUGAGAGACGAAAGCGAGGGGAGCAAAUGGGAUUAGAAACCCCAGUAGUCC
rnacentral:rRNA from 1 species